rnacentral:lncRNA from 1 species
UGAAAAUGUGAGCUGGUUUAGUUUGUUUAGGUUGGGGAGCUACAUCAUGGUCUGAGAGUGAUGCAUGCAAUGUUUGCUCUUUGCAGAUGCCUGUUUCUUCCCAGCAGUCCUGCUCACUUGCCUGUUCACAAGAAUAGUGCAUGAGCUCAUGCAACUAGAGAGCAAGAGAAAAAUCGAGCUUGUCACUCCGUGCAGUAGAGGUUCUGUCAUGUGAUAUUACUCCACACAGAGGGAAGCCGGAGCAGCCCUGCACGCUGCUUUACACCACUGGAAAAUGCUGAGCUUUGGCUGGGGAAGCUUGGAGUCAGGAGGCGUCUGGGCACAGGGCAGUCCCAUCACUUGAGCUUCACCCGUGUUCCGCUUCUGCAGCAGGAACUGCGAGAUACAGCAUGGUUCGCGGAUUAUUUCAGAGAGCUGUCAAGAUCCUGUGACUUUCAUUUCAUUGGAUUUAAUGAUCGUUGGAAAAGGUGUGCAUUACAGCCAGAUACAAUCACAUUUGUCAGCAUGAUCCUUUUAAGUGCAAUUCAAUUAAAGUGUUAUUCUCUAAUUUUAUUAUUGCUCAAGCUGAGUGCUAAUGCUGGCUACCAAUAAAGCUACAGGUAGAUAAUGGUAUACAAUUUAAUUUAACUAAUUGGAGUUUAGUGAUCUAACAUGCUUUUCAUAUCUUAAUUCUUUGAAUAAUCUUUGAUUUUUGCAUCCGCUACAAUUCUUUUAAUGGAAAAGGGCAACUGAAAACAUGGGUUACAUUUGAGAUUGAAUUAUCUGGUAACAUCUGCCUUUAACAGUGUAUCAGUAUGCACGCGAAUUUCCUUCUAUUACCUGCCACUUGCAUCCAUUUUCCAUUGUCAGCGUGCUUGACCUUGAAAUUAAUUUAUCUAACUGUGCUUACAUUUGUUAUUAAGUUAACUGCAGCCUUGGAGUGCCAGAGCUGAGGGGAUUCUGGCUGGAUGACAAAUUAAAGGGUCAGCAGCAGAGAUAAACCAGUCCCUCCAACCGGGCAAAGCCAAUGGGUCUUCUCCUACAAUUCCAAAAAGUUACAGAUAAAUAAAGUACAGAUACAAGAGCA